UACGUAGGGUGCGAGCGUUGUCCGGAAUUACUGGGCGUAAAGAGCUCGUAGGUGGUUUGUCGCGUUGUCCGUGAAAACUCACAACUCAAUUGUGGGCGUGCGGGCGAUACGGGCAGACUGGAGUACUGCAGGGGAGACUGGAAUUCCUGGUGUAGCGGUGGAAUGCGCAGAUAUCAGGAGGAACACCGGUGGCGAAGGCGGGUCUCUGGGCAGUAACUGACACUGAUGCGCGACAGCGUGGGGAGCAAACAGG
rnacentral:rRNA from 1 species